AGGACGAACGCUGGCGGCGUGCUUAACACAUGCAAGUCGAGCGGAAAGGCCCUUCGGGGUACUCGAGCGGCGAACGGGUGAGUAACACGUGAGUAAUCUGCCCCUAGCUCUGGGAUAGCUCCGGGAAACCGGGAUUAAUACCAGAUACGACCACUUUAGACAUCUGUUGUGGUGGAAAGAAUUUUGGCUAGGGAUGAGCUCGCGGCCUAUCAGCUUGUUGGUGAGGUAACGGCUCACCAAGGCGACGACGGGUAGCCGGCCUGAGAGGGCGACCGGCCACACUGGGACUGAGACACGGCCCAGACUCCUACGGGAGGCAGCAGUGGGGAAUAUUGCGCAAUGGGCGAAAGCCUGACGCAGCGACGCCGCGUGGGGGAUGAAGGCCUUCGGGUUGUAAACCCUUUCAGCAGGACGAAGCGAAGUGACGGUACCUGCAGAAGAAGCGCCGGCUAACUACGUGCCAGCAGCCGC
rnacentral:rRNA from 1 species